rnacentral:rRNA from 1 species
CUGCGGAGGGAUCAUUACACAAAUAUGAAGCCGAAUCUGGGCCGUGGCCUUGUUGCCACGCCCGUUUGGUGCCAUAUUCACCCAUGUCUUUUUGCGUACUACUUGUUUCCUUGGCGGGUCCGCCCGCCAAUUGGACCUUAUUGAACCCUUUUUUUGCAAUUGCAAUCAGCGUCAGCAAAACAAAUGUAAUCAAUUACAACUUUCAACAACGGAUCUCUUGGUUCUGGCAUCGAUGAAGAACGCAGCGAAAUGCGAUAAGUAGUGUGAAUUGCAGAAUUCAGUGAAUCAUCGAAUCUUUGAACGCACAUUGCGCCCUUUGGUAUUCCAAAGGGCAUGCCUGUUCGAGCGUCAUUUGUACCCUCAAGCUUUGCUUGGUGUUGGGCGUCUUGUCUUGGGGGCUUCCUCUCAAGACUCGCCUUAAAAUCAUUGGCAGCCGGCCUACUGGUUACGGAGCGCAGCACAUUAUUUGCGUUCUUGUCCAGCCGCGGUCGCGCGUCCAUGAAGCUUCUUUCAACCUUUUGACCUCGGAUCAGGUAGGGAUACCC